GUUCCCACAACGCGUUUCAGCGUUGGGUACACACGGACGCGUUUUGAAUGGCAAUUGGCCACAAGUUGCCGUGACUUGAAAAUUGCGCUUGAACUUGACCGUCGGAAUUGCAUGGGAAACGCGACGCGAAUUUGCCCCUUGCUCCCGUCUUUUAUGCUGCUCGAGUUGUUACGGCUGAUGUCAAUCCUUAUUAUCAUAAAAUUCAGCCCGCUUCUAAUUAAAGGACCGGGGCAGUUAGAAGGCAGUCUUUUUUCACUGAGACAGGGACCGAUCUAGCAGCUCUCUCUAAGAGGACCCGAAUAAGGCCGAUUACCUUCCUUCGGGGGCUGAGGAGGCCGGACAGGCUGGAGGCAUCUGAGGACCCCUCUCCAUGUGAAGGCUGGCCGAGGGUGGACCACCGUCCCCCUGGUGCCAGUGAGAUGACCGCGGCACACAGGAGGAGGCCGAGGCGUGGGAGGAGGAACGAAGAGGAGGAGGAAGCGAUGUUGAAGAGCGAUCUGGGAGCGAGUUGAGCGGGGCUGCUGAUGGC